rnacentral:rRNA from 1 species
CCUACGGGAGGCAGCAGUGGGGAAUAUUGCACAAUGGGGGAAACCCUGAUGCAGCGACGCCGCGUGAGUGAGGAAGUAUUUCGGUAUGUAAAGCUCUAUCAGCAGGGAAGAAAAUGACGGUACCUGACCAAGAAGCCCCGGCUAACUACGUGCCAGCAGCCGCGGUAAUACGUAGGGGGCAAGCGUUAUCCGGAUUUACUGGGUGUAAAGGGAGCGUAGGCGGCUGUGUAAGCCAGAAGUGAAAGCCCGAGGCUCAACCACGGGACUGCUUUUGGAACUACAUGGCUUGAUUGCAGGAGAGGCAA